CCUACGGGAGGCAGCAGUAAGGAAUAUUGGUCAAUGGACGCAAGUCUGAACCAGCCAUGCCGCGUGAAGGAUGAAGGUCCUCUGGAUUGUAAACUUCUUUUAUAUGGGACGAAACCCUCGAAUUCUUUCGGGAUUGACGGUACCAUAGGAAUAAGCACCGGCUAACUCCGUGCCAGCAGCCGCGGUAAU
rnacentral:rRNA from 1 species